CAUGCCAAUGGCACUGCCCGGUAGCUAAAUGCGGAAGAGAUAAGUGCUGAAAGCAUCUAAGCACGAAACUUGCCCCGAGAUGAGUUCUCCCUGACCCUUUAAGGGUCCUGAAGGAACGUUGAAGACGACGACGUUGAUAGGCCGGGUGUGUAAGCGCAGCGAUGCGUUGAGCUAACCGGUACUAAUGAACCGUGAGGCUUAACCUUACAACGCCGAAGCUGUU
rnacentral:rRNA from 1 species